rnacentral:rRNA from 1 species
UACGAAGGGGGCUAGCGUUGCUCGGAAUCACUGGGCGUAAAGCGCACGUAGGCGGACUCUUAAGUCAGGGGUGAAAUCCUGGAGCUCAACUCCAGAACUGCCUUUGAUACUGGGAGUCUUGAGUUCGGGAGAGGUGAGUGGAACUGCGAGUGUAGAGGUGAAAAUUCGUAGAUAUUCGCAAGAACACCAGUGGCGAAGGCGGCUCACUGGCCCGAUACUGACGCUGAGGUGCGAAAGCGUGGGGGAGCAAACAGGG